rnacentral:rRNA from 1 species
GACGAACCGUGCGAACGUUGUUCGGAAUUACUGGGCGUAAAGGGCUCGUAGGCGGCCAACUAAGUCCGACGUGAAAUCCCCAGGCUUAACCUGGGAACUGCGUCGGAUACUGGAUGGCUUGAAUCCGGGAGAGGGAUGCGGAAUUCCAGGUGUAGCGGUGAAAUGCGUAGAUAUCUGGAGGAACACCGGUGGCGAAGGCGGCAUCCUGGACCGGCAUUGACGCUGAGGAGCGAAAGCCAGGGGAGCAAACGGG